GCCAGGCAUGGUGGCAUGCGCCUGUAAUCCUAGCUACUUGGAGGCUGAGGCAGGAGGAUCCCUUGAACCCAGGAGGCGGGGGUUGCAGUGAACUGAGAUCGUGCCACUGCACUCCAACCUGGGUGACAGAGUGAGAUUCUGUCUCCA
rnacentral:SRP_RNA from 1 species